rnacentral:snoRNA from 1 species
CAGAGGAUGUAAACACCUCCCACCUUUGACGGAUUUGAUGCAACCCUGUUUCCACUGAUU